rnacentral:rRNA from 1 species
UACGGAGGAUCCGAGCGUUAUCCGGAUUUAUUGGGUUUAAAGGGUGCGUAGGCGGAAGAAUAAGUCAGUGGUGAAGGUUUGCAGCUCAACUGUAAAAUUGCCGUUGAAACUGUUUUUCUUGAGUGUAAAUGAGGUAGGCGGAAUGUGUUGUGUAGCGGUGAAAUGCUUAGAUAUGACACAGAACACCGAUUGCGAAGGCAGCUUACUAAGAUACAACUGACGCUGAGGCACGAAAGCGUGGGGAUCGAACAGGAUUAGAUACCCUGGUAGUCCACGCAGUAAACGAUGAUUACUAGCUGUUUGCGAUAUACUGUAAGUGGCUAAGCGAAAGCGAUAAGUAAUCCACCUGGGGAGUACGUUCGCAAGAAUGAAACUCAAAGGAAUUGACGGGGGCCCGCACAAGCGGAGGAACAUGUGGUUUAAUUCGAUGAUACGCGAGGAACCUUACCCGGGCUUGAAAUGCAGAGGAAUAACUUGGAAACAGGUUAGUCAGCAAUGACCUCUGUGUAGGUGCUGCAUGGUUGUCGUCAGCUCGUGCCGUGAGGUGUCGGCUUAAGUGCCAUAACGAGCGCAACCCUUGUCAUUAGUUACUAACAGGUUAAGCUGAGGACUCUAAUGAGACUGCCACCGUAAGGUGUGAGGAAGGUGGGGAUGACGUCAAAUCAGCACGGCCCUUACGUCCGGGGCGACACACGUGUUACAAUGGGGGGUACAGAAAGCAGCUACUUGGCGACAAGAUGCUAAUCUCCAAAACCUCUCUCAGUUCGGAUCGGAGUCUGCAACUCGACUCCGUGAAGCUGGAUUCGCUAGUAAUCGCGCAUCAGCCAUGGCGCGGUGAAUACGUUCCCGGGCCU